GACAUCAAGCUAGACGCUGGCGUGAACCUUCACCAAGAGCUGAUCCUUCACUCCUCUCCCUGGAGCAGUUGUUGAAGACCGAGAAUCUGGCUGAGGCAAAGGUGUCAGAGGAGGACAAGCUGAAAGUGGUGAUGUACCAGUCCAGCCUGUGCUACUACUCCAGGAGGGCAGCGGCUCCGCUCCGCACAAGCGCAUCCGGAAGAGCACAGGGAUUCCCCGCAGCUUCCUGUUGGAGGUGGACGACCCAGACCGAAAGGGAGUCAUAAUAGACGGCAGCGGCAGAUACGUCAUUCCCAUCAUAGACGCUGAGGCCUAUGCUGCUGAGAAGAGAAAGAGGCCAUCCUUCUCCUGCCAGACCGAGCCUUUGCCCUCCUCGUCCUCAGCAGGUGCGGCAUCUUCGGUCCGGGACGCCGGAGGGAAACGGUCCCGCUCCCCAUCUUCACCAGAGACGCGCGGCGACCAAAAGAGACCACAUCGCUGAGAGACCUUCAUCCUAGAGACCUGGAGCCGACUUGUAAAUAUUGUACAUAGUUUAUUAAUAAAAGAUAAUAAAGAUUAUAGCUGCAUG
ensembl:processed_transcript